UUUAUUUUUACGUCAUGAGCGUCAUAGUAUACGUAUUAUUUUUCUGUUCUCUUUCCCAGAAGAAUUCUGCAAUCUUGUUGCUAGCAUUUACAGGGCUGCGGAAGACGGCUGAGAACUUUUUCAGACUGCGUUGGAGUUAUCCACUGCCGCCACACACACGUCCGCCCCCGCCUUUUGCCAGACUCCAGUUAUGAGAUAGUUAUCGGCAAGACGCUCACCUCAGCGGGUAGAAGAAAGAUGCCGGCCGAUUGCUGUGGGCGGGCCAGUGAACAUUGUCUUGCUUGCGUUCAUCCUGUUGGUUCCUCAAGAGACCUCGAGAAUCAAAGCUGUAACAUCUAGAGGCAAGGUCAUAUGGCAAAGGAAGUGCAGACUACAAUGACCUAGUGUGCGUCGAGCGAGAGGAGUGUAUAAGGGAGACCAUUUCUGGAUACAAUGACGGGUUGGCAGGAACCAUUGGCUUAGGUGGCACAUUGACUUUUGUCACAAUGGAUGAGAAGAGAAGUCCUGUUUCUAUUCCUUCACACAGCUGACCGAGCCAAAAAAAUGAGAGAUGACAUAAGACUGUUGCACAUCUCUGUCCAUCCCUUUCUGUUCCUGGAGAUACAUGAUGUCAGUCAUUGCAGACUGGUGUGUACUCCACGCAAAGUUUGCUGUGACAGCUCCACAUUCUGAAGCAGCUGGAAGAAGGCAAUCAGAGUUUGAAGUGGACACUGCCCAUACGUUCAUCUCAAAUAUAGUUAUGAUCGUUAUCGAUAGUACGCAUCUUUCCUGUGCUCUGAGCUGGUGGGAGAGGUUGACGGAAGAAGACUGUCUGAGAAGGGCAAACGACUUCCAGCCAGACAGAACUCCUGCCUGCCACAGACAGUCCGCUGUCGGCCCCUUACCGAACGCUUCUAAUCUGCCGGGGUUGAGCAUCUCUGGACCGAACAUCGCACAGGGAAGGGAAGCCAACUUUGAACAGUAUCCUCUGCUCAGGCGGAAGUAUACAUAACUCCUGGCUCUAGUCAUCAGGAGCCUCCACUAAUUUCCACAUGUGUAG
rnacentral:lncRNA from 1 species